ACUACAUCCCUGCACCCCUCUUGGGGACCAGACUUUUGAAGAGCUAUUCGAGGUAACGGGAAACGAAAAACAGAAGGUGAAGAGAGAUAGGAAUUAGGACUGGGUCUCCUGGUGGAACUGUGAGUACGCACAGGUGGCCAAGGCAUUUAGACGACUCAGGUCCGAGAUGAGAAUGCUGAAUCUAGAUAAGUAGGAAGUCGAGCACUGGGUAAAACCAGAAGUAGUCAUCUCGCUCCGGGGCGUCUCAGAUGAUUAUACAAGAGGGAUCCCCAGCGGUCAAAGGAGAGGGAAAUACCCCUCUACCUUGUGCAUAAUGAAAAUGGAAAUAUGUUUAGAAUUGCACAUGUUUAAUCUAUAGUGGAUUGCGUGCUGUCUAGUGUAGAAGAGAAGAGAAGGAGAAAAAGUUGAACACAAGGCUUUGCAAAGAAACAGACAGAGGCUCUCGGACAGAUUUCAGCGGAAUUACAUGAAGAGUGGAGCUGGAUUGAAGGCUGAAGAAAGCAGAGGCAGAAGCAAAGUACAAAGCGGCAAGAGCUCUUGGAACCAAGCAGAGAGAUAGGCCUCUCAAUUAACCAGGCUAUACUGGAGACAAUAAAAGAUCUGAACUUUUAUCACCUGGCUGUAUUUGGGGUAAUUAUUGAUCUUCACUGAUACUAAGGCUGCCUCCAGAAAACCUCCUUGAGAAACCUACCUUCUCCCAGAGAGAACUAUUAUUAUUAUAUAUUUUAAAGAAGAACUCCAACACAUGGUCAACAUCUAAAUUUUUUUAAAUGGCUCUUCUUUACUGAAUUAAUCAUAAGACUGGCUUCUCUGAGUGGGGACUGGAAUAGGCUAUCAACUUGAAAGAUUCAAAACUGCCCAACAGUCUCUCCAUUUAGGCCUGUAUGAUCCUGUGGGGCCUCAGUUCUUGGCAAUUUCUGUUCAUAAGGAUCAGGACUAGUGAAGUCUUUGAGAGGUAUCAGGAUUGGCAGAUUUACCACAGUAAACUCCUUGAAGUAUGCAUUUAUUACACUAUAUAUUGAAGAAAUACUUGUUUUUAUGUCAACUGAUCUAGAUCUCUACUAAAAGGAAAACAUAGGACUACAUGAUUGUACUUCAUCCAAUAUUACCCAUCAUGAGUUGAAUGAUGAAAGAUAGUUCCUUCAUCAAAGUAGGACACAAGAGGCUUCCGUUGUCAAAUGGAAAAAGUACAAAAAUCAUGUUUGUCACCUUUUUUUUUUUUUCCCAUUGGUGAAUUCUUCCUGAGUCCUGCAUUUUGAGAAAAGGUCAAAGUUCAGCCACCCUUUAAUCCCUUCCAAGAUUCAAUACCUGGGACCUUACUACUUAGCACUAUGCCUGAUACAGUUUAAGCACUUCAAUUAACUCAUUAAAUUAUAAUGCUCUUUACAGCAAAUAGACAAAGAUGAUUUGGAGAAAUGUAAAUUGUUGAAAGUGCAUGUUUCUUUGUUUUGUCUUUCUUGGAUCCUGACAACAAAAUGAAAUUUUAAAGUUUUUCCACCAAUAUUCUAUAAGGGUUUGUAGUUGUAGUGGGAACUUGGAAAAGGAGUAGGAAAAACUAGUUUUUCACCAUCUUUGCACUUUCUGAUGAUUGCUAUUCCCAGAAAGGUAUGGAGUUUAAAGCUAAUUUCUUAUUCUUUCUUCUCAGCUGCUUACCUGCUUUCUCAGGACUAUGUGACAUCCAAGGAAUGUUCGCUUCUGAUAAAGUUCACAAGAACAGAAGAAAAUGAGGUUACAUUCAUAGAAUCACAGCAGGUCAGAGCUAGAGAAAUCUUAGAGAUUAUCCAGUGUUCGGGACAACUGAUUUGCAUCAGACCAUGGCACGAUAUGGACCUUGCAUCUUUAGAAAUUGAAUGAUGAAAGAUGGUCCUCCUGCAACAAUCUGAG